UAUAAGGGGUGCGGAGAUGUUCCUGGAUGUCAAAAAGCCAGCCCACCCGAACUUCCCGUAAAAGAAAAAAAUCCCUCGGCACCCACCUUAUCCACUUACCCCGCAUCCUCCCAUGAUCCUCCCCGACCAACUUCCCGCCGCCGCCUCCCUGCUCCGGCGCGCCUCCUGCCGCUAGCCCCACAGCCCCGGCGUGCUUCCUGCCGCUGCUUCCCUCGGCCCCGGUGCUCCCCCGCCGCCGCCCACCCUGGGCGUGACGCGCCUCCGCCACCGCCCACCCUGGCCGCGACGCGCCUCCGCCGCCGCUCCGCCCACCCUGGCCCCGACGCGCCUCCAUCCGCCGCCCCCCGACGCGCCUCCUGCUGCCUCCCUCCACCUGCUUUGAUGACGGCGCCGGCCACCUCCACCUUCUUACACCGCUGCACCGGCCACAGCAACCUUCUUCCACUACUGCGCUGGCCACCCCCUCCUUCUUCCACCACGGCACCAGCCUCCCCCUCCUUCCACCACGACGCCAGCCUCCCCCUCCUUCCACGUGCAGAUUGGGCACUGCCUCCAGCUAGAGGAGACGUCGACCUGCAGCUGAAGGAGGCCCUGACCUGCAACGGGUCGUGUGCGUCACUGCGACGCCCAGGCCGUCCAACUUCGCCAACUCAGGCAGUUCAACCCCCGCGCCCAAUCCUCCUUGGCCACAAAUGACAAUCACAGCUAACCCUGACUCUGCGGCCUUACUAGCGCCGUUCAAGGUUCUCGGCCGCAGCUCCUCACUAGUGCAGAGAUUUGAGUGCAGACCCCUGCGCCAAGUAAAUGGCAUGCACGCUCCUCUGGGAAUGCUCCUCCAAAUAUUCAAGCGGAAAGUCUUCUUCACGUUCUGGACUUGUGCCCUAGCUUCUUUUGAACUUCUGUUGAUUCAUACCUAAAUGAAUUUGUACUAUGAUUUUUCAUCAGCUUUUUGGUGAAAUAAUGCUUCCUGUUCACAUCAACAAAUGCUUCGUGGAGGACUUCUCCAACGACUUGCAGGUUCGGCAAUAGACAAGGAAGCUGCCCAGACCAUUUUCUCAUGUACGGGUUGUAUGCAGCGUACAGAUAGACCUCCCCUGCCCGGCAGCUAUGGCGUGUGGCUGCCUAGCACAUCGACGCCCCAAGUUUCAGAAAUCCUUCAGGAAAAAAUGCAAAAGAAAAAUGGAGCAGGGGUCGCAAGCCUCAAGCCCUCUCUCCACUUGGUGGCUUCUUGUUCUCAAAGCACAAGCUGCUGCUGCUACUAUUAGUAAACUACUUCUGCUCACUAUAAUGGGCUGAGGGGCGUUGCCCAACUGCGUGGAUGCUCGCCUGCUCACUGAGGGUCGCGGCAGUCCACCCCGAAGCCGUCUGCAGGAGGAGCUUGCACCAGUCCCGCCUCUCCUUCGUCCAGUGCUCCAAGAGGCCAGGGCAGAAAAAUCGAUCAUCUUCUGAUGAGCCCUGCCCCAACAGGAACCUCUCUCCCUACCUCUCUUCGCUACUGAUGGGCACCAUAGUGUGAAGUUGAUGUAGAGAACAAGUUCUGAUUAUGUGCUCUGUACAUGCUUGUUGAUAUGUCAAUGAGAACCAACUUUUUUUCUUCA